rnacentral:rRNA from 1 species
AUGAACGGAAAGUUUGAUUUGAGGACUUGCAGGAUGGUUAUGGCUCCGCACUUCACUGUAGAAGGGUACUACAUUCUGUAUGUACUAAAUAUGGCCAGCAGGGUGUGCCAUGUGUUUGAUCCUUCACACGCAUGGCAAUUAGAGACAACUUUGGAGAAAAGGCAUUUCCAAGAUUAUAUGGUAUUGUUGAAGGGAAUGUCCUCAUUGAUAAAUCCUGUAUACCCUGGAUUUCAUCUGGAUGUAUCAAAAUGGACAAUUAAAUGUCAUGGUGGGUCGACUGAAGACCGUGUGAAGAGGGGUGAUAGUGCAUUCGUUGUUCUGCAAAUCAUGUUGAGCUUUAAUUGUGAACAAAAAAACGGAAUUUUCCAAUCCAACUGUGUGGCGUUGUUCAAGCUUCAUGUGCUGCAAUGGUUAGGGAGAAUGGAGGGCAACAGAUCAUGGCUCCCAAGUACAAUCAUGCCAUGA